rnacentral:rRNA from 1 species
UGCUCCAGUUGAUCGCAUGGUCUUCUGGGAAAGCUUUCGCGGUAUGGGAUGGGGUCGCGCCCUAUCAGCUUGACGGCGGGGUAACGGCCCACCGUGGCUUCGACGGGUAGCCGGCCUGAGAGGGCGACCGGCCACAUUGGGACUGAGAUACGGCCCAGACUCCUACGGGAGGCAGCAGUGGGGAAUAUUGCACAAUGGGCGCAAGCCUGAUGCAGCGACGCAGCGUGAGGGAUGGAGGCCUUCGGGUUGUAAACCUCUUUUAUCGGGGAGCAAGCGAGAGUGAGUUUACCCGUUGAAUAAGCACCGGCUAACUACGUGCCAGCAGCCGCGGUAAUACAGAGGGUGCGAGCGUUAAUCGGAUUUACUGGGCGUAAAGCGUGCGUAGGCGGCUUUUUAAGUCGGAUGUGAAAUCCCUGAGCUUAACUUAGGAAUUGCAUUCGAUACUGGGAAGCUAGAGUAUGGGAGAGGAUGGUAGAAUUCCAGGUGUAGCGGUGAAAUGCGUAGAGAUCUGGAGGAAUACCGAUGGCGAAGGCAGCCAUCUGGCCUAAUACUGACGCUGAGGUACGAAAGCAUGGGGAGCAAACAGGAUUAGAUACCCUGGUAGUCCAUGCCGUAAACGAUGUCUACUAGCCGUUGGGGCCUUUGAGGCUUUAGUGGCGCAGCUAACGCGAUAAGUAGACCGCCUGGGGAGUACGGUCGCAAGGCUAAAACUCAAAGAAAUUGACGGGGGCCCGCACAAGCGGCGGAGCAUGCGGAUUAAUUCGAUGCAACGCGAAGAACCUUACCUGGGCUUGACAUGUGCCGGAUCGCCCCGGAAACGGGGUUUCCCUUCGGGGCCGGUUCACAGGUGGUGCAUGGUCGUCGUCAGCUCGUGUCGUGAGAUGUUGGGUUAAGUCCCGCAACGAGCGCAACCCUCGCCGCAUGUUGCCAGCGGGUUAUGCCGGGAACUCAUGUGGGACCGCCGGGGUCAACUCGGAGGAAGGUGGGGAUGACGUCAGAUCAUCAUGCCCCUUACGUCCAGGGCUUCACGCAUGCUACAAUGGCCGGUACAACGCGAUGCGACACGGUGACGUGGGGCGGAUCGCUGAAAACCGGUCUCAGUUCGGAUCGCAGUCUGCAACUCGACUGCGUGAAGGCGGAGUCGCUAGUAAUCGCGGAUCAGCAACGC